UCCUCCCUCUUUCUUCGUGCUUAACACAUGCAAGUCGAACGGAAAGGCCCUGCUUUUGUGGGGUGCUCGAGUGGCGAACGGGUGAGUAACACGUGAGUAACCUGCCCUUGACUUUGGGAUAACUUCAGGAAACUGGGGCUAAUACCGGAUAGGAGCUCCUGCUGCAUGGUGGGGGUUGGAAAGUUUCGGCGGUUGGGGAUGGACUCGCGGCUUAUCAGCUUGUUGGUGGGGUAGUGGCUUACCAAGGCUUUGACGGGUAGCCGGCCUGAGAGGGUGACCGGCCACAUUGGGACUGAGAUAGGGCCCAGACUCCUACGGGAGGCAGCAGUGGGGAAUAUUGCACAAUGGGCGGAAGCCUGAUGCAGCAACGCCGCGUGCGGGAUGACGGCCUUCGGGUUGUAAACCGCUUUCGCCUGUGACGAAGCGUGAGUGACGGUAAUGGGUAAAGAAGCACCGGCUAACUACGUG
rnacentral:rRNA from 1 species